rnacentral:lncRNA from 1 species
CUUGAUAAUAAUCAUUUACUCUAAUGCUUCCCUCCCCAAAAGAAUCAUGAUCUUUAGAGAUAUAUGCAUGAGAAGGUAAUUUUUUUAGAAUGUGAGACUUCUCAUCCUUUGCUUUAGUCAAAACAUUAAGUUUAGUCUCACUCUCCAAUUGUCUAUAAGCAAUUGAUUGCACAGUUUGUGAAACUUCUUUCAAAAGAGUUUUUAAAGAUUUUAAUUCACUUCCAAUAGACUUUGUAGAAUGAGAAGAAGAAGACAUGGCUAAAGCUUUGUGUAUACAAGUAUUUUACCUUGAGAAAACUUAGGAAAGUCAAAGAAGGUAGUUUUCCAGGUAAGGGAGGUGAGUCACAAAGAACUACUUAAAUACCAAGCCUUUGCCUUAGCCAAAAACUAUCCCUCAAUGUCUUCACACAAAACUUUCUCUUAGUAAACCACUUAGAACACAAUUAAG